AUUAUCUUGGCAGAUUAAUGCAAUAAAUUUAGAAUUUAUUUAAGUAAUUUUUUUUUUACAGAUAAUA
rnacentral:tRNA from 1 species